rnacentral:rRNA from 1 species
UAGGUUAACGAGGCGAACCGGGGGAACUGAAACAUCUAAGUACCCCGAGGAAAAGAAAUCAACCGAGAUUCCCCCAGUAGCGGCGAGCGAACGGGGAGCAGCCCGGAGUCUGAAUCAGCUUGUGUGUUAGUGGAACGGUCUGGAAAGUCCGACGGUACAGGGUGAUAGUCCCGUACACGAAAAUGCACAGGUUGUGAACUCGAAGAGUAGGGCGGGACACGUGGUAUCCUGUCUGAAUAUGGGGGGACCAUCCUCCAAGGCUAAAUACUCCUGACUGACCGAUAGUGAACCAGUACCGUGAGGGAAAGGCGAAAAGAACCCCGGCGAGGGGAGUGAAAAAGAACCUGAAACCGU